rnacentral:tRNA from 1 species
AGGGAAGUGGCACAGUGGGUAGUGUGCCUGAUCUGAAAUCAGGAAGACCUAAGUUCAAAUCUAAGCCUA